rnacentral:rRNA from 1 species
UGAGGAAUAUUGGUCAAUGGGCGCAAGCCUGAACCAGCCAUCCCGCGUGCAGGAAGACGGCCCUAUGGGUUGUAAACUGCUUUUCCAGGGGGAGAAACUUGCGCACGUGUUGCGCAAUUGACGGUACCCUGGGAAUAAGCAUCGGCUAACUCCGUGCCAGCAGCCGCGGUAAUACGGAGGAUGCGAGCGUUAUCCGGAUUCAUUGGGUUGAAAGGGGGCGUAGGCGGACUAUUAAGUCAGUGGUGAAAUCCUGCAGCUUAACUGCAGAACUGCCAUUGAUACGGAUAGCCUUGAGUUUGGUUAAGGUAGGCGGAAUGUGUAAUGUAGCGGUGAAAUGCUUAGAUAUUACACAGAACACCAAUUGCGUAGGCAGCUUACUGAGCCGACACUGACGCUGAGGCACGAAAGCGUGGGGAUCGAACA